CGUGGGUAACCUGCCCAUAAGACUGGGAUAACUCCGGGAAACCGGGGCUAAUACCGGAUAACAUUUUGAACCGCAUGGUUCGAAAUUGAAAGGCGGCUUCGGCUGUCACUUAUGGAUGGACCCGCGUCGCAUUAGCUAGUUGGUGAGGUAACGGCUCACCAAGGCAACGAUGCGUAGCCGACCUGAGAGGGUGAUCGGCCACACUGGGACUGAGACACGGCCCAGACUCCUACGGGAGGCAGCAGUAGGGAAUCUUCCGCAAUGGACGAAAGUCUGACGGAGCAACGCCGCGUGAGUGAUGAAGGCUUUCGGGUCGUAAAACUCUGUUGUUAGGGAAGAACAAGUGCUAGUUGAAUAAGCUGGCACCUUGACGGUACCUAACCAGAAAGCCACGGCUAACUACGUGCCAGCAGCCGCGGUAAUACGUAGGUGGCAAGCGUUAUCCGGAAUUAUUGGGCGUAAAGCGCGCGCAGGUGGUUUCUUAAGUCUGAUGUGAAAGCCCACGGCUCAACCGUGGAGGGUCAUUGGAAACUGGGAGACUUGAGUGCAGAAGAGGAAAGUGGAAUUCCAUGUGUAGCGGUGAAAUGCGUAGAGAUAUGGAG
rnacentral:rRNA from 1 species